rnacentral:rRNA from 1 species
GAUGAACGCUGGCGGCGUGCCUAAUACAUGCAAGUCGAGCGAACGGACGAGAAGCUUGCUUCUCUGAUGUUAGCGGCGGACGGGUGAGUAACACGUGGAUAACCUACCUAUAAGACUGGGAUAACUUCGGGAAGCCGUAGCUAAUACCGGAUAAUAUUUUGAACCGCAUGGUUCAAAAGUGAAAGACGGUCUUGCUGUCACUUAUAGAUGGAUCCGCGCUGCAUUAGCUAGUUGGUAAGGUAACGGCUUACCAAGGCAACGAUGCAUAGCCGACCUGAGAGGGUGAUCGGCCACACUGGAACUGAGACACGGUCCAGACUCCUACGGGAGGCAGCAGUAGGGAAUCUUCCGCAAUGGGCGAAAGCCUGACGGAGCAACGCCGCGUGAGUGAUGAAGGCCUUCGGAUCGUAAAACUCUGUUAUUAGGGAAGAACAUAUGUGUAAGUAACUGUGCACAUCUUGACGGUACCUAAUCAGAAAGCCACGGCUAACUACGUG